UACGUAGGGUGCGAGCGUUAAUCGGAAUUACUGGGCGUAAAGCGUGCGCAGGCGGCUUCGCAAGUCAGACGUGAAAUCCCCGGGCUUAACCUGGGAAUGGCGUUUGAAACUACGGAGCUGGAGCGUGGCAGAGGGAGGUAGAAUUCCACGUGUAGCGGUGAAAUGCGUAGAUAUGUGGAGGAAUACCGAUGGCGAAGGCAGCCUCCUGGGCCAACACUGACGCUCAUGCACGAAAGCGUGGGGAGCAAACAGG
rnacentral:rRNA from 1 species